AUUGAACGCUGGCGGCGUGCUUAACACAUGCAAGUCGAUCGGUAACAGGUGUAGCAAUACAUGCUGACGAGAGGCGGACGGGUGAGUAAUGCUUGGGAAUCUGCCUAUUAGUGGGGGACGAACCCGGGAAACGUACGGGCGUAAUACCGCAUACGCUCUACGGAGGAAAGCCGGGGACCGCAAGGCCUGGCGCUAAUAGAUGAGCCCAA
rnacentral:rRNA from 1 species